rnacentral:lncRNA from 1 species
AUCUAACGUCCUCAAACACAUUUAUUACAAUUGAUCAUCUACAUAGCAACAGACAGGGCUGGGCUCAUAAACCAGACCUGGCGCUAGAUCUGAGUGAAAUUUUUUGGGUGUUGUCAAUAACCACCGGAGGGGAGGUUCUGUAUGUCCACUUCAAACAAAGAGAACUUCCAAGGAAGAGAGACACCUUUGAUGGAUGUAUUUAUCACCAGUCCUACUGCUGUAGCAUAAGUUCACUCCCCACUUGAGCUACAUACACUCCACCAAUGGCAAAAAGAGGUGAACUUCUGUGACUUUCUUUGCAAUUUUUAAGCUUGUUGCAUUAUUAAAGCUGUGGUUGCCUUUCUCCACCUCUUACUCAAUUUCAUUGCACACUUUAGGGAUUAUUCAGUCCUUGCUCCUUCUAUACAUGC